AAGACCAUUUCCUUAAACUCUCAUAAGAAACAAGUCCAUGAAAAUACUGGUCACUAAAAGAUGCAAGUAAACCGAGCAGUAUGUAUUGAAAGCCAAUUUGUAAGGCUAGUUAGGCUUAUGAGCUUCGAUAAAAAUCUAUACUUGCGUUCUACAAGUCACCUUAAUCCUCGCUAAAUAAAAAAGUCACCUUAAUCCUAAUGUUACUUAAUAAUUACGUGGGAACUUUAUAUGGGAUCGUUUGUGUGUAGACACUAAUUUGGGAAUAUGAAAUUGUCGAGACUCCGGAGCAUCCCUAUCUCCACCGACCAGACUUUCUUCCCUAAUCUCCACCGAUUUUAUUCGAUUUUUCUUUGUUUUAAUCCUGCCAUGAGCGGCUAAUUCGCCGUCUCAUAGGCUCUGAUGGAGAAGAUAUACUCAAUUCUUAGAUUUACUGCAAUUUUGGGAUAUGUUUCUCAAAAACAAGAGGCGGAAUUGCUUAGAAGAUCUGCAAUUGAAUAAAGAAGAAAACCCCUUCUCACACGCAUCCUGCAGACGUUGAUGAUAUGAAGAUUAAUCGAUUCUAUCAGAUCUACUCCAAUAAUAAGGGGAUAUGAUUAAUAAGUUUGAGGAGGUGGAAAUAAAACUUGGUCUCUGCAACAACUCAAAUCCUUUUUGCAUGCUAUCUAUUGAUGCUGGAGAUAAGUACUUUAAGUCUUAGAAUUGAUUGAUCUUUAGCCUUGAUUAGGAAUUUUAUGCUUUUUAAUUCACCCCCCAUUUGAAUCUGAUUGAUUGGAUUUUGGUAUUAUUGUGACUCUAAUUAUCUUUAUUUAGAGUUUCGCUAUAGGAAUGCUUCAUAUCCCUGGUCUUGAAAAGAGUAACUAAAUCUGUUUAACGCCAUCGUAUUUUGAUUUCAAUUUCUUCCUGGAUCUUUCAGCUUGUGGUUUUUAUUUAGAAAAUCAAACCCUAUUAUUGCUCCUCAAAAUUCUGUUGAUUUGGUUUAUGUUCAUCAUAUGUUGUGCUUCUUUUGAUCCUAUGUUGUUUCCAAACUUUAAUAAAACCCGUGUUAGUUUUUUCCCCUUCAUGUAGCUGUUCAGCUGUGUAUUGGAGUAUCACCUUGUUUCGCUGAUUGGCAUGGUGAUGUUUCUUUGUGUUCAACUGGCCUCCUUGAUGUUUUUUCCCCUAUUUCUAAAAAUUCUGAAAAUUUCUUUUAAUGCUGUAGCUUAUCAGCUGGGUCUUGUGUAUCACCAUGUUUAGGUGCUUGACAUGAUGAUGUGUUAAAAAAAUUCUGUCCAUUGGAAAAUUCAAGGAGCUUAUCUGUCUGUAAUCUUGGUAUGAGGUUUUAUUUAAAGACUGCAACAUGAGCCUGAUUUGCACAGGGUUUUUACUCUGGUUCUUGAGAGUUUUGGGGACUUUUAAAUUUAAAGAGUGGGUGUUUUAUGAUUUUCUAAUCUGAUUCCCAACAAAAGAUUUCACAUUUCAUUUUCAUCCCUAUCUCCUCCUGUAAUGGUUUCCUUUGAGAUCAUAGUUAUUUUGGUUAUUGUGGAGUAUUCCUGUUUUUGUUUCUAUCUUAUAUGGGGUGAAUUCAGAAUUGCAUAACUUUCCUGUGCUACGGCUUUGCCAAAUUCAGUUGUUAUCGUGCCAAGAGCUUGGAGGGACAAAUAUUGAAUUGAACUCGAACUGAUAUUGCUGUUUAAGAUCCUUUCAAAUGAAUUUCCUAGCAUAUCUGAAGAAUAGACUAUCCCCUAAAAAGCAGUAAAUUACAUUAAUAUAAACAUGAGUAUAUCAAGUUGACAUCAGAGCGUAUGAGCUCUCAUUUCGGUUUGCAUUUCUUUUUCUUUUUUCUUUGUUUUUGCAUUUUCUUGCAGCUUGCUUAGUCUUUUUCCAAAAAAAAUUGUGCUUUUUUUCUAGCUCCCAUAGUGCUGUCUCAGAGUACAAUAUAAAAUUUGUUUCUGAGUGUAAAUAAGAUUUUCCUUUAUUCUUAUGACCCUGUGUUUGUAAACCAAAUUAUUCUCACUUCCCUCCUUUCUUAAAGUGAAAAAUCAAGCUUUCUUUACUGGUCUGUUAGUCUGCUUUUUCUCAUUUAAUCUCUCUAAAAAUAGUGUCAUUUUUAUAAACGAGAUAUUAUUUUCUUAUCCGAGACAAAAGCCCCGUUCGAUAGAAUGGAUUUUCUUUGAAAAAAUCUGAUUUUCAUGAUUGGUUCAUAGUCCCGUCUGUGGGUAUAGCGAAGGGGUUAGCAAUAGCCUGGCACAAUAAUGUAGAGCUAAAAUUGCUAUCGGCGCAUUUAAACGUUUGCCAUUUUGAAACAACAAUUGGUGAAAAAGAAAUAGAUAUUACAUGUGUUUAUGGUGCAGUUGAGGCAAAUGAAAAGAUAGCACAAUGGUCACACAUUUUGGAAUUGUCGAAACAAGUUAAAAAGCCAUGGGUACUAACUGGUGACCUGAAUAUAAUUCUCGACCCGGGAGAAAAACAAGGUGGCAAUAGUACAAGCUCAAGCAGCAAAAUGUUCGUAACUCAGAUAAUAGACUCUCUGGGAUUACAAGAUGCGGGCUACGAAGGUGCUCCAUUCACAUGGUCAAACAGCAGAAGUGGAGAGGCGAAUAUAUGCUAGAGGAUUGACAGAGCUUUAAUAUCAUAUCAAUAGAUUCAGAUGUUCCAUAAUACUAAGGUUCAAAUUGGGCGUCCUCAGCUUUACAUGCAGAAGCAAAAUCUCUUUUUAAGGCUUUAAAAUGGCUAGAAGACAAUAUCCUCUCUAGUGUAUUUAUUGCUACAGAUUGUAAAGUUCUGUCAGAUUGCAUUAACAAUAAAGAAACGGCAGUUGCUUGGGUGGCGGAGAAUACUAUAGAAGAAAUUACUUCUAGUCUAGACAAGUUACCACAAAUCAAGCUAAAAUUUAUUAACAGAGAUCAUAAUGCAGCAGCGGACUCGGUAGCAAAAGAAGCAAGAAUAAGAAGACUACAACACAUGUCGAAACACUUGCAACAACAAGUGCUGAAAAAAAAUAUUCUUUCUAAUACUUCCGGAAAAAAUGAAAUUGUAGAACUCAUGUUUUAUAUUGUUUAAAUUAAUAUAUUCUCAUGUUCUAUCAAAAAAAAAAUAAUAAUAAUUACGUGGAGCAAACAAUUCUUUUGCGUUUAGCUACGGUACAUUUGACAUCAGUUACUUAUAGACGUAUAGAAAUUAAUUUAUCGGUCCAUUUAGUUGUCGACAGCGUGCAAGGAUACCAAAUGCAUGAAGCCCACUUGUUCAAUUUUUUUAAGAGGUUAAGGGAAAAUUCUGGUUAUUAGACGAUAUAACCCUUAUCUAUGUCUAACAUUCAUGUCUUUGUUCCUUUCACCAGCAUCAUCUUUUCCGUCUCAGUGACGGUAAUCCCACCACUAACUUCCUGCCAGUACAAUAUCCUUUAGCACAACAACACCAUUACUUUCCAUCAGAAAAAUCUAUUUCAUAUGAGAUUUUCGAUGUUUAACUAAGUUCCCGAAAGAAGAAAACGAAGAAGAGAUCAUUGCACAUGUGAUAUUUUUUUUCAACUCAUGUGACAUUGAUUCAAUUCUCUUGCUUUGUUUGUCUGUAAAUUUCUUGUAUAUGGUUUGCUUUAUAACCCGUAUUAGUAUUUUUCGUUUCUAUCUUUUGGUUCUUCUCUGUCGUCAAUUUGAAUUUACUUUUAUUGUGUGGGUAUGUUAGUACAAUUGCAAUUGAUCAAUCCAUUUGUUAUGUUCUUAAUAAGAUUUCAAUCUAAUAAUGUUAUU